rnacentral:lncRNA from 1 species
UAAAAGCUGUUUCCAAGCAUGGAAUGUUUGAUGGUGCUGCCAAGUUGUGGAUUAAUUUUCUAGAGAUGGUGUCGUGUCUGAUUGUUGGGUUGGUAAAACCUUAUGAUGCCUCGGUACAUGUUCGGUCAUUGCAUACAAAUGGUCUUACGGAUUAUUCAUGCGUCGAUAGUUUAAUCUCAUGAAUAAUAUUCAGCUUAUAUCAGUGUCAUGCUACGACAAUUCCACGGGUGACUCACUAUCUUAGCGGUGAAUGAAAGUUACAAAUACUACAAACAAACUUUCUUGGUUAACUGAAAGGAUGCUUAAUGGUAAAUCCUUAAUUAGCUUUAUACGUAAUUUUUAAGUGCCUUUAUUACUGCCGGCCUUAAUGCUGUAACCCUUCAUGUAGAGGAAGAAAUUAUAAGCGAGCAUGUUUGUGCAUAACCUUUUUUUUCUAAGGAAAAAUGCACGUUGUUAAUUGCAAUGAAGGUGGAAAGAUGGGUAUUGAAACAUGGGUACCUGCUCCAAGGUUGUACUUGUGUUUGGGAGUACCCAUGAACUGGUGGCUGGAAAGUGUGAAAGCUUUGGUUAAAGUUAGAGAAGUCAUGCUCUAGUCCGA